UGAGUAGAAGCCAAUUUGGCGUCUAGCCGUUAAUUAGAAGUUUGUAGGAUUAACCUACCUACUCAG
rnacentral:tRNA from 1 species